rnacentral:lncRNA from 1 species
UUGGUGGUGGAGCUUAAGGGAUGUGCUGCUUUGGUUGAAGGGAAGGAGCGGUGUCAGGUUGAAAUAAGGGUGUAGGUGCGGCGGUGGAGCAACUAGCUAGGGUGGCCGAUGGUUUUGGGGAAUAGAACCGAUGUACAGCAAAUGUUGGAGGGUCAAAGGUGGUGUAUGGGCGGCGGUGGGAAGUAGAGGUAGAGAGGGAGAAGUAGUAGAAUUUAAGGUGUUAGUAGGAUGGUUUUAAGAAUUUAAAUACAAACACUUAACAAUUAAA